UACGUAGGGGGCAAGCGUUGUCCGGAAUCAUUGGGCGUAAAGCGCGUGUAGGCGGCCCGGUAAGUCCGCUGUGAAAGUCGGGGGCUCAACCCUCGGAUGCCGGUGGAUACUGUCGGGCUAGAGUCCGGAAGAGGAGAGUGGAAUUCCUGGUGUAGCGGUGAAAUGCGCAGAUAUCAGGAAGAACACCAAUGGCGAAAGCAGCUCUCUGGGACGGUACUGACGCUGAGACGCGAAAGCGUGGGGAGCGAACAGG
rnacentral:rRNA from 1 species